rnacentral:rRNA from 1 species
GAUGAACGCUGGCGGCGUGCCUAAUACAUGCAAGUCGAGCGAACAGACGAGGAGCUUGCUCCUCUGACGUUAGCGGCGGACGGGUGAGUAACACGUGGAUAACCUACCUAUAAGACUGGGAUAACUUCGGGAAACCGGAGCUAAUACCGGAUAAUAUAUUGAACCGCAUGGUUCAAUAGUGAAAGACGGUUUUGCUGUCACUUAUAGAUUGAUCCGCGCCGCAUUAGCUAGUUGGUAAGGUAACGGCUUACCAAGGCAACGAUGCGUAGCCGACCUGAGAGGGUGAUCGGCCACCCUGGAACUGAGACACGGUCCAGACUCCUACGGGAGGCAGCAGUAGGGAAUCUUCCGCAAUGGGCGAAAGCAUGACGGAGCAAGGCCGCGUGAGUGAUGAAGGUCUUCGGAUCGUAAAACUCUUUUAUUAGUGAAGAACAAAUGUGUAAGUAACUAUGCACGUCUUGACGGUACCUAAUCAGAAAGCCACGGCUAACUACGUG